rnacentral:rRNA from 1 species
UACGGAGGGAGCUAGCGUUGUUCGGAAUUACUGGGCGUAAAGCGCGCGUAGGCGGCUUUGUAAGUUAGAGGUGAAAGCCCGGGGCUCAACUCCGGAAUUGCCUUUAAGACUGCAUCGCUAGAAUUGUGGAGAGGUAAGUGGAAUUCCGAGUGUAGAGGUGAAAUUCGUAGAUAUUCGGAAGAACACCAGUGGCGAAGGCGACUUACUGGACACAUAUUGACGCUGAGGUGCGAAAAGCGUGGGGAGCAAACAGG